rnacentral:rRNA from 1 species
GUCUACAUUCAUACCACCCUGAAUGUACCCAAUCUCAACUUAUCUAGGAUCUAAAUCAGGUUAGGGUUAGUUAGUACUUGGAUGGAGAACAGAUCUUCAGAAAAGACUGCUCAGAGACAAGAAAUUUGGAGACA